GCAGGUGCUGCGGGCAGGGAGCGUUCGGGAAUCCCCCCUGCCCCUUCCCUAGGAGUGGGCCGGGCCUCUGCGGGCGGCCGGAGGCGUCUCUGUGCCCGCCUGUCGGCCGGGGCAGCGCCGCGCCGUGUGACCGCCGCGCUCCCGCUGGGCCCCGGGUCCGACCGCAAGGGCGCCUGAGCGGGCUCCGGCCGCGCUCCCGCCGAGCUCACUCGGAGCUGCCCGGGCGCUCGCUGGUGGAGGUGAUGACUCUUUCCCCGUCAGAGCGGCAGUGUUGACUAUUGCUGUCCAAGCCAGGUCGUGUCUGAUGUACCAGCGAAGCGGCCGCGGGCCGGCGCUGACCGUCCGCUGCUCCCGGUGCUUAUUGUGCUUUGUUUCUCCGUAGGACGGCGGAGCCCAGGGCGCCUGCGGGAGCCCCGUGCCCGGAGCCAGGCCGGCGAUGAGGGCACUUCCCCGGCGUGCGCCGGCAGGCGCGAGCCUCUGCCGGGGCCAGGCGGGCACUGAAGGCAAAAAGUGGGGAGUUGAGCCUUGGGGAGACCUGAAGUUCAGGCUCCAGCCGACAGUGAAGAGGUGUGUGAUGUGAGCAAUUGUCUUGGUUUGCUCUACCGUGCCUGAAUCUCUAGCAAAUAAUGGUAAGCCUUUGAAGGCACUGUGAAGGCAGAAGUGGGGAGUUGAGCCUUGGGGAGACCUGAAGUUCAGGCUCCAGCUGACAAGGAAGAGGUGGGGAUGAGGACAUUGUCUGGUUUGCUCCACCAUGUGUGCCCCUUUGUCAAGGCGGAAUGUUUGGGAUUUACAAAAAGGUGUCCUGGGCCCUGCUGGAGUUUGAGUGUUCUGCUUAAGAAGAUGGAUGGUUCUGCUGCUCCCAUGCUGCUGCCUGGGAUCCUCAUUCAAGCCACAGCAUUCCCAUACCCUGCAAUAGCUGACCUCUCAAAGCCAUCAGGAGUGAUGGAUUUGUGUCCUGCCAGCUUAGACAGAGGGUGUUACAUUUUCUGUCACCUGGGUCCAAGGCAUGUAACUGGAAUGGAUUCUGGAACUUGCUGCAUGUUUAAUGCAGUUGGAUGCUUUUGUCUGCAGGGGCUGCAUUCCCUGCCUGGCGCAGAUCAUGUUAUCCUGCCAUAGCAUGCAAGGAAAGGAAGCCUUUCCUGGGAGUAGCUGUCAGUUAUUGGGAGGAUGGAUAGGAGGGGAGUCAGGGCUUGGUUCUCCCCUGCCAUCCAGAAAGCUGCAGUGGUGUGUAUGGCAGCCUGUGAAGUGGCCAAGGCGCGUCUGGGGUGCUGCAGCACAGUGUGUUUCUGUACUGUUGGAAGCCUGGUUUUAAUAAAAAUCUUGAGUAAUGG